ACGUAGGAGACAAACGUUAUCCGGAGUUACUGGGCGUAAAGGGCGUGCAGGCGGUUUCUUAAGUUCGUCGUGAAAUCGCCCGGCUUAACCGGGCGGGGUCGAUGGAUACUGGGAGACUUGAGGGCGGUAGAGGCGUGUGGAAUUCCACGUGUAGCGGUGAAAUGCGUAGAGAUGUGGAGGAACACCAAUGGCGAAGGCAGCCCCCUGGGCCAACACUGACGCUCAUGCACGAAAGCGUGGGGAGCAAACAGGA
rnacentral:rRNA from 1 species